GACAGAGGGUGCAACCGUUGUUCGGAAUUACUGGGCGUAAAGCGUGUGUAGGCGGUCCGCUAAGUCGGGUGUGAAAGCCCUGGGCUCAACCCAGGAAGUGCACUCGAAACUGGCGGGCUAGAGUAUCGGAGAGGUUGGUGGAAUUUUCGGUGUAGAGGUGAAAUUCGUAGAUAUCGAGAGGAACACCGGUGGCGAAGGCGGCCAACUGGACGAAUACUGACGCUGAGACACGAAAGCGUGGGGAGCAAACAGG
rnacentral:rRNA from 1 species